CCAUUUCUGAGAUUUAUUGGGUUCUGCUGAGUUCUUAUAAUUACGUUCUAAUUAUAUUUCCUUACACAUCCAGAUCCUUCCUACAUAAAUGCAUUGUAAGAGAAACACCUAAUAUUGUUUCGGGCAAUGUCCUGUUUUGUAAAGUCUCUGUCGGCAGUUGUGUUGUCAGCCUAAAAAAAUAAAAAGAGGAAAAGAGAAAAGUUUCUUCUCUAAUCACCGGAAUCACUGUAGAACACACAGACUGUAUCUGAGACAGUUUCCUGUGAGACACCCUCCCUUUAUUGUCUGAAAGUCAAAGCAUCGUGUGCAACCUGUUGCUGGGCCAGGCUGUGGCCGCAAGGAGGAAGAGUGAUGGAGGUAUCAGUGAAACCCAGCUGCCUGGCCUCUGAUCUGAGGUCCCCAGAGGCAAUCUAAAGGUGCAUAAACUAGAGCUACUCAUAUGUAGCAGGAGACAGUGUGUCCAUCAUUUGCCUCAACCCCACAGGUUGCAAUUUCCUCAAAGACUUAGAUUAAUACUGUGUAUCAUUUCCUAAAAUAGCUCCAUCUUUUCCCUAAGUGCCCUCUCUCAUGGGUCCAGGAUGUCCACCCCUUGCCAGGGAUCUGUGGAAGAGAUGCAGGUAAAGGAACCAGAAUGAGAACAGAGAAUGGGACUCACGCCUGAAAAAAAUGACGCACAUGUUUGUACCCCUGGAUUGUAUAACCUCCAGGUGGCAUCAGUAUGAGUCUAACUGACCUGCUUGGUGAUUCCUGGGGGACAGGUAUGGGGAAGUUCUGAAGUCUAUCCUUUAAGACUAUGUUUGUCUCACAGAUGCUGCUCCUUAGGAAUCUUUUGCUCUGGUUGCCCUCAUCACAGCUGAUAAGAACAUCUGCAGCAGAUGGAGCUGAAUUCUGGAGGAAUUCAACCCAGCCAUUAAGGGGUCUUGUUCUUCAUUAUCAGUGGAUCCCUGCGUGGGAAUAUGCACCCUCGCUGACGGUCCAGGUUUAGAGACAUCACCACCUGGGGCUCUUGUUAACAGGAAGACCCGGAUCCCAGGGAAGCCGGGUGGGGCCGAGGUCCUGUGUUUCUAACCAGCUUCUGAGUGAGGCUGAUGCUGAUAUCAGUAAACUCCCUGUGUGUAAGCCUGUUUGGACUGCUGUUUUCCUCACUUGCACCCAAAAGAGAUCAACUGCCAUCCGGAGACCUCAGGCUUCUUCUUUCCCACCCUCCAUGCUGUUUUUUAUCCCAUGCCUUCCCUCAGACCUCCCCUCUUUGGGGAGCUUGGAUAUUGCCUCCUCCGGGGAGCCUUCCCUGAUUCCUGCUUCCUGCCCUCAGAGAUUUUCAGAAGCAAAUCCCAGGGCAACCAUUCACAACCUUGACUGUAAAAUAGAAUCACCUGGAAGCUUGGAAACCAUCUGCUCUCCAGGCCACACCCCAGACCAAACAAUCCAGAAUGUCUACAGUUGCAAGCAUGUCAGUGUCUUAAG